rnacentral:rRNA from 1 species
ACAGCAGCAGCCACGGGAAUACAGAGGGUGCGAGCGUUAAUCGGAUUUACUGGGCGUAAAGCGUGCGUAGGCGGCUUUUUAAGUCGGAUGUGAAAUCCCUGAGCUUAACUUAGGAAUUGCAUUCGAUACUGGGAAGCUAGAGUAUGGGAGAGGAUGGUAGAAUUCCAGGUGUAGCGGUGAAAUGCGUAGAGAUCUGGAGGAAUACCGAUGGCGAAGGCAGCCAUCUGGCCUAAUACUGACGCUGAGGUACGAAAGCAUGGGGAGCAAACAGGAUUAGAUACCCCGGUAGUCCCUGUCUCUUAUAC